rnacentral:rRNA from 1 species
GACGAACGCUGGCGGCGUGCUUAACACAUGCAAGUCGAACGGAAAGGCCCUGCUUUUGUGGGGUGCUCGAGUGGCGAACGGGUGAGUAACACGUGAGUAACCUGCCCUUGACUUUGGGAUAACUUCAGGAAACUGGGGCUAAUACCGGAUAUGAGCUCCUGCUGCAUGGUGGGGGUUGGAAAGUUUCGGCGGUUGUGGAUGGACUCGCGGCUUAUCAGCUUGUUGGUGGGGUAGUGGCUUACCAAGGGUUUGACGGGUAGCCGGCCUGAGAGGGUGACCGGCCACAGUGGGACUGAGAUACGGCCCAGAAUCCUACCGGAGGCAGCAGUGGGGAAUAUUGCAGAAUGGGCCGAAGCCUGAUGCGGCAACGCCGCGUGCGGGAUAACGGCCUUCGGGUUGUAAACCGAUUUCGCCUGUGACGAAGCGUGAGUGACGGUAAUGGGUAAAGAAGCACCGGCUAACUACGUG